CACGUAGGGAGCAAGCGUUGUCCGGAAUCAUUGGGCGUAAAGCGCGCGUAGGCGGCCCCGUAAGUCCGCUGUGAAAGUCAAAGGCUCACUUCUGAAAGCCGGUGGAUACUGUGGGGCUAGAGUCCGGAAGAGGCGAGUGGAAUUCCUGGUGUAGCGGUGGAAUGCGCAGAUAUCAGGAGGAACACCAAUAGCGAAGGCAGCUCGCUGGGACGGUACUGACGCUAAGGCGCGAAAGCGUGGGGAGCGAACAGG
rnacentral:rRNA from 1 species